GGAAAAGAAACUAACAAGGAUUCCCCUAGUAACGGCGAGUGAACCGGGAAGAGCUCAAAUUUGAAAUCUGGCGUCCUCAGGGCGUCCGAGUUGUAAUCUAUAGAGGCGUUUUCCGUGCCGGACCGUGUCCAAGUUCCUUGGAACAGGAUAUCAAAGAGGGUGACAAUCCCGUACUUGACACGACGACCGGUGCUCUGUGAUACGUCUUCUACGAGUCGAGUUGUUUGGGAAUGCAGCUCAAAAUGGGUGGUGAGUUCCAUCUAAAGCUAAAUAUUGGCGAGAGACCGAUAGCGAACAAGUACCGUGAGGGAAAGAUGAAAAGCACUUUGGAAAGAGAGUUAAACAGUACGUGAAAUUGUUGAAAGGGAAACGAUUGAAGUCAGUCGUGACCGAGAGGCUCAGCCGGUUCUGCCGGUGUAUUCCCCUCGGUCGGGUCAACAUCAGUUUUGUCCGGUGGAUAAGGACGGUAGGAAGGUGGCACCCUCGGGUGUGUUAUAGCCUGCCGUCGCAUACAUCGGGUGAGACUGAGGAACGCAGCUCGCCUUUAUGGCCGGGGUUCGCCCACGUCCGAGCUUAGGAUGUUGACAUAAUGGCUUUAAACGAC
rnacentral:rRNA from 1 species